UACGUGGGGGGCAAGCGUUGUUCGGAAUUAUUGGGCGUAAAGGGUGCGUAGGCGGUUUUGUAAGUCUUGUGUGAAAUCUUCAGGCUCAACUUGAAGACUGCACGAGAAACUGCAGGGCUUGAGUGUGGGAGAGGUGAGUGGAAUUCCUGGUGUAGCGGUGAAAUGCGUAGAGAUCAUGAGGAAGACCAGUGGCGAAGGCGGGUCUCUGGACAGUUCCUGACACUGAGGCACGAAGGCCAGGGGAGCAAACGGG
rnacentral:rRNA from 1 species